rnacentral:lncRNA from 1 species
CCAUAAUUAAAUCUAUUUAUGAGUACCUUCCCUAUCCUGGCCCUGCCUUUCUCUAAACGUUACUGAUAUCCUAAUAUUCUUAGAGGUCAAUUUUAGUUUAAAGAAAAAUGAAUGGAAAGUAUACUGAGUUCCUAGCACCCAGGGUCCCCUAUUAUUAACAAAUGCAUUAAUGUUAUACAAUUUUUAGUAAUCAGUGAACCUACAUUGAUGCAUCAUUAUCACUCAAAGCCCAUAGUUUACAUUAGGAUUCACUCUCGGUGUUGCACAUCCUAUGGCUUUUGACAAAUAUAUAACGAUAUGUACCCACCAUUACAGUAUUAUGUAGAACAGAUUCACUGUCCUAAAAAUCCUCUAUAUCCCUUUUAAUCAACCCCCUUUCUUCCUCCCUCCCAACCCCUGGCACCACUGAUCUUUUUCCCGUAUCCAUAGUCCACUCUGUCCUAAAUAUCAUACAAUUGGAAUCAUACAGUAUGUAGACUUUCAGAUUGGCUUAUUUCAUUUAGAAAUACGCAUUUAAUGCCCCCUCCAGGGUUUUGUGGUUUGAUAGUUCAUUUCUCUUUAUUGCUGAAUAAUAUUCCACUGUAUUUGUGUUUCACAGUUUGUUUAUCCAGUUGUCUGUUGAAGGAUGCAGAGUGUAUUUUUUCAUAGACCUAAGUUUUCAACUCAAUUGGGCAAUGCCUAGGAACACAUUGCUGGGUCAUAUGAAAUCACUGCCAAGCCUAAUGAGGUGAAGUUUUUCACCUAUGUUUUCCUCAAGAAGUUUUACAGUGGUUCCACGUCCCACAUUAAAGUCUGUAAUCAAUUUUCAAUUGGUUUUGUGUGUGGUCUAAGAUAAGGUCCAAUUUCUUUCAUGUGGUUUGAUUAUCAAGUUUCUCAAUCUAUUUGUUGAGACACUGUCCUUUCUCCAUUGUGUUUUCUUAGUAUUUUUGUCAAAGAGCUGUUUAUAGUGUAUGCAUGGGUACUUCCGGGGCAUCUAUUCUGUGCCAUUGGUAACGUUACUUUUUCCUUUGUGGUUUGGAUGUCUUUUAUUUCUUUUUAUUGCCUAAUUGCUAUGGCUUGGACUUCUAGUAUUGUAUUGAGCAGAAGUGGUGAAAGUGGGCAUCCUUGUCUUGUUCCUGAUCUUAGAAAAAGCUUUCAGUUUUUCACUAUUGAGUAUGAUGUUAGCGUGGGCUUUUAUAUAUGGCAUUUAUUAUGUGAGGUGAGUUCUUUCUACUUGUUAAGAGUUGUUACCAUAAAAGUGUGUUGAAUUUUGUCAAAUGGCUUUUCUGCAUCUAUUGAGAUGAUAAUCGAUUUUUAUCCUCCACUCUGUUAAUGUGGAGUAUCAUGCUAACUGAUUUGCCUUGUAUCCCAGGGACUAGUUUCAGUUGGUCGUGGUGUGUGAUCCUUUGAUGUGCUGGUGAGUUCAGUUUGCUAAUAUUUUGUUUAGGAUUUUUACAGCUAUUUUCAUCAGAGAUAGAGGGCUAUAGUUUUUAUUUCUUAUGACGUCUUUGCCUUUGGAAUCAGGGUAAUAGUGCCCACAUAAAAAAAGGAUUUGGAAUUGUUCCCUCUACUUUUGAAAGAGUUUAAGAAGGGCUUGUAUUGAAUCUUAUUUAAGUGUUUGGUGGAACUCAUCUGUGAAGCUGUCUGGUCCUGGGCUUUUCUUUGUUGGAAGGUUCUGAUUAGUGAUUCAAUUUCCUGUUUGUUAUUGUUUUCUUCUCAAUUCAGUUUUAGUAGGAUGUAUGUUCUAGGAAUUUA